rnacentral:lncRNA from 1 species
CAACAACAACAAACCCAGUGUAUUCUCACAUAGUGAGGUCUGGGGAGGGUAAGAUGUACGUAGUCCAUACCUCUACCUCUAAAGAAGUAGAAAGGUUGUUUCCGAUAGACCUCCGGCUCGAGACACGGAAUACUACACAAAUACAUAGUAAAGCAUGGAACAAGAUGGCAUAACAUAAAUACGACACCCACAAGUAAUAGAAAACAGAGAAAAGUAAACAGAUUCGUAAUAAAGCAUGAAACAAGGUAUCAUAACAAGAAUAAUACCCCCACUAAGUAAUUCUCUACACUAGCGACCCAAACUGACCCUGGCCUUCUGCCCUAAUUCGCGUCCUCCAGAUCUUCCUAUCUAGGGUCAUGUCCUCAGUGAGCUGUAACUGCUUCAUGUCCCGCCUAAUCACCUCUCCCCAGU